UACGUAGGGUGCGAGCGUUGUCCGGAAUUACUGGGCGUAAAGAGCUCGUAGGCGGUUUGUCGCGUUGUUCGUGAAAACUCACAGCUUAACUGUGGGCGUGCGGGCGAUACGGGCAGACUGGAGUACUGCAGGGGAGACUGGAAUUCCUGGUGUAGCGGUGGAAUGCGCAGAUAUCAGGAGGAACACCGAUGGCGAAGGCAGGUCUCUGGGCAGUAACUGACGCUGAGGAGCGAAAGCGUGGGGAGCGAACAGG
rnacentral:rRNA from 1 species